rnacentral:rRNA from 1 species
GACGAACGCUGGCGGCGUGCCUAAUACAUGCAAGUCGAGCGAAUGGCGAGAAGCUUGCUUCUCUGAUUUAGCGGCGGACGGGUGAGUAACACGUGGGCAACCUGCCCUACAGAUCGGGAUAACUCAGGGAAACCUGGGCUAAUACCGGAUAAUCCUUCGAAUCACAUGUUUUGAAGUUGAAAGGCGAUUCGGCGUCACUGUAGGAAGGGCACGCGGUGCAUUAGCUAGUUGGUGGGGUAACGGCCUACCAAGGCAACGAUGCAUAGCCGACCUGAGAGGGUGAUCGGCCACAUUGGGACUGAGACACGGCCCAAACUCCUACGGGAGGCAGCAGUAGGGAAUCUUCCACAAUGGACGAAAGUCUGAUGGAGCAACGCCGCGUGAGUGAUGAAGGUUUUCGGAUCGUAAAACUCUGUUGUAAGGGAAGAACAAGUACGUUAGGAAAUGAACGUACCUUGACGGUACCUUAUUAGAAAGCCACGGCUAACUACGUGCCAGCCGCCGCUGUAA